CCGACGUGGACAUCCUGUGAGUAGCUCUUGCAUGGCUCUGUCCUUGUGGCGUAUGGGAGCGUAGCUAUGCUGUGACGUACAUUCCCGUUCCACGACGUCGGAGAGCAAGCUCAGUCCCCGGCUCUCGGGCCGGUGAGGACGGGCGUUCUGUAUAUUCCUAUAACUUCCUAGAGCCUUCUGGGCCGUGACUGGGGAGCUAAACCAUGCAGGGCACAUGC
rnacentral:snoRNA from 10 species